rnacentral:lncRNA from 1 species
GACAAACUGAACUGAACUGUUUUUGUUUUAUAAAACUGUACUAAACUAAACUAUACUAAAUUGUAGGUUUAAUAGGUUCGCAGGUCCCUAUUUCUGCGGGUUCGUUCCAAUUGGGUCCUCCUAUUUUGGAAGUGCUCAAUUGGGUCCCUAAUUUGAUAAAUUUGAUUCAAUAAUAUCCUUUCUGUUAAAUGCAAUGGACAGUGUUAACUUUCUAGCAAGGUGACAUGGUGAGAUGUCCUUUAAUUAACACGUGGCACAGUAAAAUCUCGUGGAGAAACCUUCUCUCCUUCUCCUUCUCCUUCCCUUUCCCCUUCCUCUUCCUCACCAACUCCAACCUCACCUUCUCCCCUAUUUGGGAAAUUUUCUUCUCACCCCCCACACCCACCUCUUCAACAUCUACAUCCAUGCCCAUCGCCCAAUCCAACCGUCCGGCGCACCUUUCGUGUCUCCCCAUUUCUCAUUGUCGUCGCUUGCCGUUCUGUUGCGAUAUUGGGGUUAGGGUUCAGAUUGAGAAUUUGUGUUAAUGGCCUCUCAUUACUGGUGUAGAUGUGAUGCGAAGAUUUCACGUUCUCUGCUUGCUCGAUUUUGUGAUUUUGUGAUUUGGGGUUUGAUUGUUCU